rnacentral:misc_RNA from 1 species
AGUAGGAGACAUGUUGCCAUGAAUUUAUAUAACCGGAAGGAGACCACAUGACAAAUUAAAUGUAAUGCAUUCAGUUUAUAUUUUAUUUGUGAAAUUUUUUUUUUCCACAGGUCUACUACUUGCAAAUUCUUGUGUAAAGCAGCCACCUUUUUGUUCUUUUAUUAAGAAUUCAUUACCUGUUCAUUUCAUUGUUUAUUUUCC